rnacentral:rRNA from 1 species
UACGGAGGGUGCGAGCGUUAAUCGGAAUUACUGGGCGUAAAACGCGCGCAGGCGGCUUUGGAAGGCAGAUUGGAAAGCCCCGGGCUUAACCUGGGAAUGGCAUUUGGGACUGCAAGGCUGGAGUUUGGCAGAGGAGACUGGAAUUCCUGGUGUAGCAGUGAAAUGCGUAGAUAUCAGGAGGAAUACCGAUGGCGAAGGCAGGUCUCUGGGCUAUAACUGACGCUCAUGCACGAAAGCGUGGGGAGCAAACAGG